rnacentral:rRNA from 1 species
UACACUCCUGCGGGAGGCAGCAGUGGGGAAUUUUGGACAAUGGGCGAAAGCCUGAUCCAGCAAUGCCGCGUGUGUGAAGAAGGCCUUCGGGUUGUAAAGCACUUUUGUCCGGAAAGAAAUCCUUGGCUCUAAUACAGUCGGGGGAUGACGGUACCGGAAGAAUAAGCACCGGCUAACUACGUGCCAGCAGCCGCGGUAAUACGUAGGGUGCGAGCGUUAAUCGGAAUUACUGGGCGUAAAGCGUGCGCAGGCGGUUUGCUAAGACCGAUGUGAAAUCCCCGGGCUCAACCUGGGAACUGCAUUGGUGACUGGCAGGCUAGAGUAUGGCAGAGGGGGGUAGAAUUCCACGUGUAGCAGUGAAAUGCGUAGAGAUGUGGAGGAAUACCGAUGGCGAAGGCAGCCCCCUGGGCCAAUACUGACGCUCAUGCACGAAAGCGUGGGGAGCAAACAGGAUUAGAAACCCUUGUAGUCCCAUGA